rnacentral:lncRNA from 1 species
GUAUAAUUUUUUCAUGUAGGCGAAUUAUUUGCAGUGGAAUUUUUAUGCAGGUAAAUUGAAUAGUUAUAAGGAAAUUUUUUUACGUGUGAAAGUGUUUGCGAGAUAGUUUUUUAGGGCGAGCUAAGUAUGAAUAUCACAGUAUUCGUUUAAAUUCUUUUGUUAUUUUGGUGGUUCCUAUCGGAACCGGUUUUUUGGUUUUUUUCUUUAAGCGUCAAGUGUCUUCUCCAGCCACAUCGCAAAUGCUUCGACCUCCAUUUUGGCGCAGUGUUGGUAGGCGGCGUUUUCGGUGUGUUUUCCGCACGUUUCGAGCCAGACCAGCUGGUCGAAGAGCUUUUCAGCCUUGGGACAACGAUAAUCUUGUAAAUCAAGCACAGGAAUGUUAAGGCGAGCUAACAGGUCUCUUUCAUAUAUCCCGCCUUUGUACGCAAUGGCUGACCUCGAGUUCUGACGUACAUUUUCAUACAGCUGAGAGAUUACCUUAGGAAGACUGGAAAGAGGAAGGGCAUCGACUCCAACGGGCACACCAAAAGGUAAUUUAUGGAUGUGAGUUUGUACGUAUUUGCAUGCUCUUUGGUCUUUAGGCGUCAGGUCGUUCCACUGUAGACCAGUGUCGAAAAAGAAGGAUUGAGCUGUAGCGUCUCCAACACUCAGAAAACCCAAUUCUUUACAGAAAAAAACUUUUGUUGACAAAAAA